CAUAAGAACGAAGCCGAAAAUGCUAAACAGGUACAAUAUUGUACUGUUACAAUAAGAAAAAGUAAUGAAAGCAAAGACGGUCUGCAAUAUGUCCGUAAUCGAAACUGCGAAGUGGAAUCGGUUAAUGUGCGCAUGUUUUCAAUAGGAAACAGCAGAAACGCAGGUAAACAAGUCGCAGACGACAGUGCGUCGACAUCAUCGGUACAUCUAUGUAGAGUUGCGAUCUUGAAAGUCCAACACACAGGAAGAACAACUAGUUUUCACUGGCCUCCGAACCAACUGGACCGCAUGGUCGUUGCCAUUUUCUCGUAGAAUGAAGAGGAAGAACUGAACACCGGUGUGGAUCUGCUCAUGGUUAGCGACGGAGUUUCCUUUGGCAUGUCAUACUCUGCAGGAAGCUGGAAGAAAAAAGCCAAGAGGCACAACAGGGACAAGUUACGAGACGAGGACCAGUGCAUGCUCUCAACUGAACAGUUUAAACGCCGUUAAAUUGUAUUAAGACAUAGACAAAAUAAAUAAAUACGCUAGACUCGCA